UAGGGAAUCUUCCGCAAUGGACGAAAGUCUGACGGAGCAACGCCGCGUGAGUGAUGAAGGCUUUCGGGUCGUAAAACUCUGUUGUUAGGGAAGAACAAGUACGAGAGUAACUGCUCGUACCUUGACGGUACCUAACCAGAAAGCCACGGCUAACUACGUGCCAGCAGCCGCGGUAAUACGUAGGUGGCAAGCGUUAUCCGGAAUUAUUGGGCGUAAAGCGCGCGCAGGCGGUUUCUUAAGUCUGAUGUGAAAGCCCACGGCUCAACCGUGGAGGGUCAUUGGAAACUGGGGAACUUGAGUGCAGAAGAGAAAAGCGGAAUUCCACGUGUAGCGGUGAAAUGCGUAGAGAUGUGGAGGAACACCAGUGGCGAAGGCGGCUUUUUGGUCUGUAACUGACGCUGAGGCGCGAAAGCGUGGGGAGCAAACAGGAUUAGAUACCCUGGUAGUCCACGCCGUAAACGAUGAGUGCUAAGUGUUAGAGGGUUUCCGCCCUUUAGUGCUGCAGCUAACGCAUUAAGCAC
rnacentral:rRNA from 1 species